AAGCCAAUCAGGUUAUUGUAUGGAAACGCCCAGGUACCGGUCCGUGAUUGGCGGAGGCGGUAACUUUAAAAAAUUGUUUUCAUACAACAUCGUCAACGUCCAUUGUGUUUUGUACAACAAAGCAGGCAAAACGUGUAUUUACUGCGAUAUCCUAGAGCACAUUUUGAAGAAUAGACAUGGGUGCCUUUGAGAGUAAGAGCUGGGCCAGUCUGGAUGACUCCACCAGUAGUACACCCCCUGAACAACGCAAAGUUCUCCAGUUUGACCCCAGGUCACCAACAUCUGGCAUCGACAGAACACCUAUUCAGGUUGAAAAGCCAACAGCAAUUUUUGUAGACCCACGUUCACCCACAAGAGAAGUUGACCGGACACCAAUAAAGGGAUCUGACGAAGAGUACAGAGGUAUGUCUUUCCCACCUAA